rnacentral:misc_RNA from 1 species
AAAAAAAAUUAAAAUUAAAAAAAAGAACGCAUUUAUAAAUUCGGAAGUGUAAAUUAUGGCUACUCAAAAUAGUUUGAAAUGACAAUUUUCUCAUGUCUAGAUUCUAAACCCAAAAGCAGUUACUGCAUUGAUUGAUUGCAAGUACAGAGAAAUCAUAAUAUUCUGGUAAUGAAUGGAAUGAAUUAGCAGAGCUACACUGCAAAAAGUUGCCACAUUUAAAGUUUCUAUAAUCGCACAACUUAAAAUUUACAGUUUGUGUUUCCAUAAUGGACAUAAAAACAGCUAAAAAAAAAACAUUCACAUUGAAAAAGAAACAGCACAACUUGGAGAUACUGCUAAAAUAUUACUACUAUCUUUUUUUUUAAAAAAAAAAUAAAUUUGAAUUUCAAAUUUGGCUGGAUUUGUUUUGCGAAAUAUCUAUGGUAGAACUGGAAUCCGGGUGUUUUUUCACUCAUGUAAUCCGAUCUAUGGCUUAAUUUAAAAAUUCUAUUUUUUUUCGUGGUUUAUUAUUGAAGUUUGAGAUUUUUUUUUCUUAAUGGCGUGAUUUAAAUUGAAGGCUUUUUUACUUGAAUGGUUCUGUAAUUUUUUCCCCUUAAAGCUUGAGUUAGCUUUUGGAUAUUUUAAAGCAGGGGGAUUUUAAUGCUUGUAGGUUAUUACAGUGGCAAACAACGAAA